AGUAUGAAGGAGCGACAGAUGUGGAUGGAAGAAAACCCAGUAUAUGGGAUACCUUCACUAAGGAUCAUCCAGAAAAAAUAGCAGAUAACAGCUCUGGAAAAAUCGCAGAUGAAUUCUAUUAUAGAUACAAGAGUGACAUCAAGCGACUGAAAGAAACGGGUUUCGACUCCUUCAGAUUCUCUAUCUCUUGGUCUAGAGUACUACCAAGUA